UCGAGAAUAAUUCGCAAUGGGCGAAAGCCUGACGAUGCGACGCCGUGUGAACGAUGAAGGCCUUCGGGUUGUAAAGUUCUGUCGUCUCUGAGCAAGGGAUGCGUAAUAAUACUAUGCAUUCGUGAGAGUAAGAGAGAAGGAAGCACCGGCUAACUUCGUGCCAGCAGCUGCGGUAAUACGAAGGGUGCAAGCGUUAGUCGGAAUUACUGGGCGUAAAGGGCGCGUAGGCGGGAGUAUACGUCAGAUGUGAAAUUACGGAGCUUAACUUCGGAGCUGCAUCUGAAACUGUACUUCUAGAGGGAUAAUGGAGAAAACGGAAUUCCACGUGUAGCGGUGAAAUGCGUAGAUAUGUGGAAGAACACCUGUGGCGAAAGCGGUUUUCUAAUUAUUACCUGACGCUGAGGCGCGAAAGCAAGGGGAGCAAACA
rnacentral:rRNA from 1 species